AUAUAUAUAUAUAUAUUGUGUUGUGUGUGUGUGUGUGUGUGUGUGUGUGUAUAUAUGUAUAUAUAUAUAUAUCAUUAUAAAUGCUUUUAAAAAUAUUAUA
rnacentral:miRNA from 12 species